rnacentral:rRNA from 1 species
AACGAACGCUGGCGGCAUGCCUAACACAUGCAAGUCGAACGAGAUCUUCGGGUCUAGUGGCGCACGGGUGCGUAACGCGUGGGAAUCUGCCCUUCGGUUCGGAAUAACAGUUGGAAACGACUGCUAAUACCGGAUGAUGACGAAAGUCCAAAGAUUUAUCGCCAGAGGAUGAGCCCGCGUAGGAUUAGCUAGUUGGUGUGGUAAAGGCGCACCAAGGCGACGAUCCUUAGCUGGUCUGAGAGGAUGAUCAGCCACACUGGGACUGAGACACGGCCCAGACUCCUACGGGAGGCAGCAGUGGGGAAUAUUGGACAAUGGGCGAAAGCCUGAUCCAGCAAUGCCGCGUGAGUGAUGAAGGCCUUAGGGUUGUAAAGCUCUUUUACCCGGGAUGAUAAUGACAGUACCGGGAGAAUAAGCUCCGGCUAACUCCGUGCCAGCAGCCGUCGUAA